rnacentral:rRNA from 1 species
UACGGGGGGAGCAAGCGUUGUUCGGAUUUACUGGGCGUAAAGGGCGCGUAGGCGGUCAGCACAAGUCAGUUGUGAAAUCUCCGGGGCUUAACUCGGAAAGGUCAACUGAUACUGUGCGACUAGAGUGCAGAAGGGGCAACUGGAAUUCUCGGUGGUAGCGGUGAAAUGCGUAGAUAUCGAGAGGAACACCUGGCGGCGAA